AGCGUAGAAAGUGAUAGUCCUGUUUUCUUUGACCGGCCACUUUUAGUGUAGAGUUGGGACUCAAAUUGCAGAAAAACACGUAAAAUUCCUGCAAAGAAACGAAAAACAAAAAGCAAACAAACCACAUACAAGAAUAGUGUAAGUCCUUCCAUUAAACUUGUGUUUGAUGUUAUCCUAGGUUAAUUCAAUUAAAUAAGAAUGGAGACUGUCGUUUGUAUUAUUGCUGUAAAUCUUGACAUUUGGCGAUAAAACUUGUAGUUAAAAGUCAGUCGUAAACAGCGAAUUCGGCCAUUCUCAGUCUACUUUUCCCCGCACUUAAAUAACUGCAAGUUGACAAAAAUAGCUUAAAAGCACAUAAACCAGUGCGGAACAUUACCAUUUUUGGUUAUAUUUGAUAAACAAUCUGAUUAACCAAUCAGAGAUAAGUAUUACUAUGCCCAGUCUUACGCGGUCACGCCUCAACUCAGAGUGGGAAAACAAAAUGACGGUUCCGUUGAAUCGGGAAAAUCAUGUUGAACGCCGCUUUUUAACUCUCUGCUAGCAGUGAUUUCUUCUUAUCUGUUUAAGCAGGGAUUUCACCGACUCAGUGCGUCAUAUAUACCCUAUUUGUGUUGUUUCUCAUCGGCAACAGACCUCAUUUGCAGGGUUUUUUUUACGACUUCACCGAAUCGUACUGUAAUGAACGCGGAAGGGUUCUAACACCAAGUUAGAGCCAUUGAGGGUGUAUUUCAUUGUGUGUGCAGACAAA